rnacentral:misc_RNA from 1 species
AACCAUAGAAACCUGCGGAGUACCUGCGGAGGGAUCAUUACCGAGUUAUACAACUCAUCAACCCUGUGAACAUACCUAAAACGUUGCCUCGGCGGGAACAGACGGCCCCGUAACACGGGCCGCCCCCGCCAGAGGACCCCCUAACUCUGUUUCUAUAAUGUUUUCUCUGAGUAAACAAGCAAAUAAAUCAAAACUUUUAACAAUGGAUCU